GUAGGAUUUAAAUUGAUUUGAAUCAAGGGUUCUGUUAGGAAGAAAAAGGGGAACGCCUUUUUUUUUUAAGAUUUGCUAUGAUCUUGUUUCAUAUCAUGUUGGAAGGUUCAUUUUUUGAAUUUCAAAUAUGUCCAGGACGGGGUCAUUUUUCUGUCUUCAUUAUGGUGUUUGGCAUCUUGAAUUUUGAAUUAUUUUGACAUUUAUCAGCAAGAUUGGACUACUGACAGUUACAUCGAGAGUAUCUUUUGGUUUUAGUACAGUUUAUUUUAUUCUUAUUAUAAUUAGGCAUUGGAAACUAUACCGAAUAGAUCUCCAGGAUGCAAUUAUUCACAUCAAUAACUUACAUCUUUAUUUUGUUUUAUUUUCUUCUUCCUUUUUUUGGAUUUUGUAUUUGUAAUGUUGAAAGAGCUUCACGUGUAGAAAUAAGACUUACAAUUUUCUUAAAAAAGUGAAAGAUUUAGAGUGUAUGCUAAAAAAUUCUACACUUGAAUUGUAUCCUAAAAUGAGUUAUUGAGUUUUAUGAAAAACUUGGCAACUAUCGUGCAUUUAAUGGGAAGUGUUGAGAGGAAGUUUGUAGAAAUGAAUUGUUAAAGAAUCUUCAAUCCAUAAGUGUCUUUAACAAGUGUUCAAUGCAAUUGGAGGUUGUUACUUUAUUAGUUUUGCUUUUUCUGGUUUUUUGGCUGAAACUUGCUGUAAAUACUGAAGUCGACCAUUUUACCCCCAAUAAACAAUAAUACACCCUCAUCGCUUCACUCUGUUCAUCUUCUCACUUCCUACCUAUCUUUCUUUAUUAUCUUCUCUCUCCUUUUCCUAUGCACAAAUUCCAUAUAUCCUUUUCCAUCUGUUUCUAAUUGAAAUGCCAAUGUCCACUAAUAUAUGACGACACUUUCCACUUAUUUAUUUUACAUGCACUCACAAUUGAGAAAAUUGAAGGAAAAAAAAAUAGAGGCUUAUUUGGCUGCCAAGAAAUUGCAAGGGAAAAAAAUGAUGGUUCUUUAUCAGAUUUACUUCCCAAGUUAAGAUAUUUAUGUUGGUAGAGAUAGCAAGUGAAGAAACUGAGUUUUUGUAUAGGAAAAGGAAGAAUGUAAUAGAGUGAGAAAAAAGGGUAGGAGUAGUAUUGUUUAUUGGUAAAAUGGUCCAUUUUAUUAUUUGAGCAAGUAAAUCUGGCCAAAUGCAUAUCUCCUCUAAUAUCAGCCUUAAUCGCACCUAAAUUUAUACACAUUUAAUGUUUCUUAGAUUAUCACAUUAAUGCCAAAAAAUUAAUAGUCACAAAAGAAUGAGUUUUUCAUAUGCAUUCAUAGCUAUGAAAUAAUCACAACUCAUUUUGAUUCAUGCAGGUAUGAACCACUCUCCUAUUUGCUUGGGAAGGAGUACUUUCUCCAUGCUUAUGGUCCAAUAUAUGCUCUUUCAGCUGAUGUUGUUGCAAGUUUAGUUGCUCUUAGAAAUGACAGGCAAGUUAACUUGUACCCUUUUUGGCUAUUUCUAGUAACUCUUUACUUAUUAGUUCGUGAAGCUUUUCCUUUUUCAUUUUUUCCUAUCAUUUACAUUCAUCAAAAUCCAUUUUUAAAUCUAAAUCCCAUUGAGGUAGUAGCAAUGAAUUUCUAAUUUAUUGAGGUCUUUGGUACUCUGCCAACCUUGAAGGAAGCUUGUUGAAAAUUUGAAAUCAUAUGAUAAUUAUUGUUCCACUACCAUUAAAUUCUUCUUAAAAAGGGAUAUAAUUUUUAGCAUAAAGGCAUAAAGGGAGCAGUAUUAAAAAAUAUUGGGAGCUGAAUUUAUUUUGUCUGCCCUCAUUCUAAUAUCUAUUUGUUUUCAACCAAAGUAAGUCAAGAGUUACGCUUAUACUUGGUAGACUUUAAUUUUUGAUAACUUAAAAGAAUUGGUACUCUUUUUUUCAUAUAAUUCAGAAACUAUUAAAUGGGAUUGUUAGGAUUCAAACCCUUAGCCUCCUAUACUAUGGACUCUAAAUCUUUUUGCUGUGGAUUCAAGUCUUUUUGGUUGCUGGAAAGUACAUUGAAUUCAACAUUUUAUUCCUCCCAAAGUUCCAACCUUGGAUCCAUCCCUGCUUCAAUUGAUAAUUAGUUUUUGCAACAUUGCCAUCCAUUGUGUGUAAAGGCAAUCAUAGCACAAGAAAAUGAGCUUCUUGGUAUCGCAGAUUGGGUCAAUAUUUUGCCUUCGUUAUGACAUCUCUUUUUUCCUUUGAAAU
rnacentral:misc_RNA from 1 species